UACGUAGGGUGCAAGCGUUGUCCGGAAUUAUUGGGCGUAAAGAGCUCGUAGGCGGUCUGUCGCGUCGGCUGUGAAAACUCGGGGCUCAACUCCGAGCUUGCAGUCGAUACGGGCAGGCUAGAGUUCGGCAGGGGAGACUGGAAUUCCUGGUGUAGCGGUGAAAUGCGCAGAUAUCAGGAGGAACACCUGUGGUGUAGACAGCUUACUGGACCACUUCUGACGCUGAGACACGAAAGCGUGGGUAGCAAACAGG
rnacentral:rRNA from 1 species